GCAUUUACAUAUGUUUGUGUUCUACUGUGUUUUGUCAAGUGUACCAGUCCACAUUGCAGCCAACCACCUAUAACCCACAUAAAAUGGGGAUGCCUCUUUAAGAAACAGAGAUUAUGGAAGCUAGGUAGUCUACCUAACCAAUAGGAAGUUUAGUUUUAAGUGUGUAUCAACCAAUCAGAAUGCAGACUGCCGCUGUAGGUCCCGCCUUUCUUCCCCUUGUCUGCAGCAUGUUUGUGUGUGCAGGAGAGAUCCGACAUGAGGAAGAAACUGCUAAGCUGUUCAGCGUGAGAGUUUGUGUUGUUUAAGACGGAAAAAUACUAGAUACUAACUCGAAACAAACCCUUUUGCAAAUAGAAUUACUGUUUAUCAUCCAACUUCUGAGCUGGAAGUAGAGAAGUGAGUUAAAAAGACUGAACUUCAGUUUUUCUGCCGAGCACUUAGAGCUACCUUGUUAGCCUCGUUAGCUCUUAUUGGCUAUUGGUUUCCUGGAAGUUCAGCUUAUUAUCCGUUCAGCUGAAGUGCCCUGCGUGUCCGGAUACCAUAUUGUUGUCCCAAACGUGUCGCAUUGAGAUCGGUCAGGUUUUUUGGAGUGCUGGAUUGUUCCUGAGGUGGAUUCCUCCUGUGAAUUUGAUGGCGAGCCUUCCCACCUGGACUUAGAGAAAGAACUGGAUUCCUUCUUUUCCAUUCGGAGUCCUGCUGCACCCUGCGGUGUGGUAGGCCUGUAUCACUCACAUCUUCACACACAGUUGGUUAAGCGUGAGACCACAGACUGACAUUUUUCACUUUUAUUGUUUCAUCCUGGAAUUUUGGACAAGUUUUUAUUUGGGACAUUAUAACAAACUGCUGUGUAGGAAAUUAUCCUCAUGUGAAUGAUAUUGAGUCAAACCUGAAUUAGAACUGAAGUCCGUUUUAGAAAACGGGUUCUUAACUUAUAGUUAGGAAAAAUAAUCUCUUUCCUCUCCAUUAUAACGAUAAAGGGGGUCCAGUUCCAUCAGUAGAUUAAUUUAUGUAUUUGAAUACAUCUGUGUCAAGAAAUGUAGAGAAUAAAUGUAUUUUUUCAUGCAGUCAGUGCAUUGAAUCUAAUCAUGUAGUUCUGCCUUUGCAUUUUCAUUCAGUUUAUUCUGAAAAAUGUAAGUUUAAAUGAGACUGUUCUUACUGCUAAGUUUAGCUGAACUGUACAAUAUAGAAGUACAAUUAUUUUUAUACUUUAAGUUCAUUUGCAUAUGUUUCUUGUUGACUUGAGAUAAAUACAGAUUUAAAAAAGAACACUUUGUCUAUUAUUGAUGUUUAUAUUUUUGCAACUGUAAUGGGUGGCAUCAAUUAAUUUCUAGAAGUCAUUUAGCCAGGUUUCAAUGAGAUCUUUUAUUCUGGGGGAGAAGAGCAAAAACAAAUCAACCUCCUCUUCAACUCCCUCUCCCUGCACUCCAGCCCCACAGCAGCGAGGAACAACGCUGGGUACUAACAUUUUUUUCCGUCAGAUUCAACAAAAGUCAACUAAAAAAAAAAAAAAUCUCCUCACAAAAAUCAUAAACUAAAAACAAGGAGAGGAGAAAAACGCCACUUGGUGGCCACAACAACACAAUACAGUGGGACAGAGUUAAAUAAACAGAGAUAAAAAGUAUAACUUAAAAUAAAAACACAUACCUGGGGAAGAAGAGUAAAAAUAAAUCAACCUCCUCUUCAACUUCCUCUCCCUGCACUCCAGCCCUAAAUGUGAAAAUAAAAACAAUGUUCGACCGAGCUGUGCUGGACUAGCACCGGUUGUUCGUGCCAAAAUAAAAAAAAGUUAUCAUUAUUUAAAAACUGUUUAUAAAAACCCACUAAUGGUCAAAACUGCAAAAUAACACACUAACAAACAACAUAUGGUAGAGACCUCAACAUGAACAACAA